rnacentral:lncRNA from 1 species
AUGGAUCCGUCAAAGCAGGUGGCUUUGGAUUCGUCUCGUUUGGCAAGGUGAGAAAAUGGAAGAAGUGGGUGGCUUGUUUUCUUUGUCGGUGGGGAGCCUCUUGAACAAGGGUGAUCGGAAAAGGUUGUUGAAAAGAAAAAAAUGAAAAACACGGUGGUGACAUUAUGGCGUUGGAGUUCAAUCGGGCGGCUUUGGAUGUGGCCGGGGUAGGUCGUUGAUCCGUGAUAAGUCAAGAUGUGAAUGAACGGUGUUCCAACGUUAUGCCAUAUUACAUGUUACGGGCGUGGUGUUUUUUUUCGGGUUAAACCGAGACAUUGGACGUGAUCGAGGUGAAGAUCGGGUGUCCGUUAGAUGUCAUAGUGGUUCGAAACCGAGGUGGUUCGGUGCUACGGUGAACGGUUCGAACAAACACCGAUUAAGGGGGUGAUUGUUGAGUUUACUCGGGUUUG